rnacentral:rRNA from 1 species
UACGGAGGGUGCAAGCGUUAUCCGGAUUCACUGGGUUUAAAGGGUGCGUAGGAGGGCAGGUAAGUCAGUGGUGAAAUCUCCAAGCUUAACUUGGAACUGCCGUUGAUACUAUCUGUCUUGAAUACCGUGGAGGUGAGCGGAAUAUGUCAUGUAGCGGUGAAAUGCUUAGAUAUGAACAUAGAACACCAAUUGCGAAGGCAGCUACGCU